rnacentral:rRNA from 1 species
GAUGAACGCUGGCGGCGUGCCUAAUACAUGCAAGUCGAGCGAAUGGAUUAAGAGCUUGCUCUUAUGAAGUUAGCGGCGGACGGGUGAGUAACACGUAGGUAACCUGCCCAUAAGACUGGGAUAACUCCGGGAAACCGGGGCUAAUACCGGAUAACAUUUUGAACCGCAUGGUUCGAAAUUGAAAGGCGGCUUCGGCUGUCACUUAUGGAUGGACCCGCGUCGCAUUAGCUAGUUGGGGAGGUAACGGCUCACCAAGGCAACGAUGCGUAGCCGACCUGAGAGGGUGAUCGGCCACACUGGGACUGAGGCACGGCCCAGACUCCUACGGGAGGCAGCAGUAGGGAAUCUUCCGCAAUGGACGAAAGUCUGACGGAGCAACGCCGCGUGAGUGAUGAAGGCUUUCGGGUCGUAAAACUCUGUUGUUAGGGAAGAACAAGUGCUAGUUGAAUAAGCUGGCACCUUGACGGUACCUAACCAGAAAGCCACGGCUAACUACGUGCCAGCCGCCGCAGUAA